rnacentral:rRNA from 1 species
CUACGGGCGGCACCAGUGAGGAAUAUUGCACAAUGGGGGGAACCCUGAUGCAGCAACGCCGCGUGGAGGAUGACGCAUUUCGGUGUGUAAACUCCUUUUAUAUGUCAAGAAAAUGACGGUAGCAUAUGAAUAAGCACCGGCUAACUCCGUGCCAGCAGCCGCGGUAAUACGGAGGGUGCAAGCGUUACUCGGGAAUCACUGGGCGUAAAGGACGCGUAGGCGGGUUGGAAAGUCAGGUGUGAAAUCCUACAGCUUAACUGUAGAACUGCACUUGAAACUUCUAAUCUAGAGUAUGGGAGGGGGAGAUGGAAUUAGUGGUGUAGGGGUAAAAUCCGUAGAUAUCACUAGGAAUACCUAAAGCGAAGGCGAUCUCCUGGAACAUUACUGACGCUAAGGCGUGAAAGCGUGGGGAGCAAACAGGAUUAGAUACCCCCGUAGUC